GCCUGGGUGGCUCAGUCGGUUGAGCGUCCAACUUCCGCUUGGGUCAUGAUUUCGUGGUUUUUGGGUUCGAGUCCCGCGUCAAGCU
rnacentral:tRNA from 1 species